rnacentral:rRNA from 1 species
AGCGAACGCUGGCGGCGUGCUUAACACAUGCAAGUCGAGUGCGUAGCCCUUUGUAGCAAUACAGAGGGUGGGCGCACGGCGCACGGGUGAGUAACACGUGGGUAACCUGCCCUUCGGUGGGGAAUAACCCCGCGAAAGCGGGGCUAAUUCCGCAUAACAUUCCGGGGACACAUGUUCUCGGACUCAAAGGAGUGAUUCGCCGGAGGAGGGGCCCGCGCCCGAUUAGCUUGUUGGUAGGGUAACGGCCACCAAGGCUUUGAUCGGUAGCCGGCCUGAGAGGAUGGCCGGCCACACUGGAACUGAGACACGGUCCAGACUCCUACGGGAGGCAGCAGUGGGGAAUCUUGCGCAAUGGGCGAAAGCCUGACGCAGCGACGCCGCGU